rnacentral:tRNA from 1 species
UCGCUAUCGGAGGUCGAUCCUUCCGUCCCAG